rnacentral:lncRNA from 1 species
UUUUGCUUUUGAUUAUGUGAUAACAAAGAUAAACAAUAUAGUGUAAAUUGUAAACUUACAGGAACAAGCAAUUGUACAUAUAGGAUUAGUCCCCAAACCUAAUCCUUUAGCUCUGCAUGUUAUUUCCCCAAAAAAAUGGAAAACCCUUUUCCAUUUUUCUCUCCAAAAAUCAGUUAAGGCCUCUUGACAAAUCAAUAUAGUUAUGGCUCUCUCUCAAACAACAUCCCAAAUCAGAGAAAAAGCCCUCUUCAAACUAUCCAAAUCAACAUCCCUUCUUUCUUUUCUCAUUCUAAAAAUCAGUUAGGGCCUCUUCCAUUAGGGUUUGUGAAGCCCAUGACCUCUUCCUCCUUCCUUCUUCUGUCUCUAUAAACCCUGGCUAUGAGCCUAGCCCAUUUUCGUCUUUUCCUUCUUCCUGCUUCUCUUUCUAAACCGUAACAUUCUCUCUCUUCAUUCUUCCUCCUCUCUCUAAACCGUAAACAGCGCUGUGAAACCC